rfam:Chlorocebus sabaeus isolate 1994-021 chromosome 18, whole genome shotgun sequence.
GCUGGGUGUGGUGACUCGCGCCUGUAAUCCCAGCACUUUGGGAGGCUGAGGUGGGGGGAUCACCUGAGGUCAGGAGUUCAAGACCAGCCUGACCAACAUGGUGAAACCCCAUCUCUA